GAGCCAGUGUGGUGUAGUGGUUUUAAUGCUGGAUUACGACUCUGGAGACCAGGGUUUGUAUCCCUGGUUGUUCA